rnacentral:lncRNA from 1 species
CCCAGGCAGAAAUUUGCUGCCAGGGCAGGGUGCUCAUGAAGAACCUCUGCUAGGGCAGCGCAGAAGGGAAAUGUGGGGUGGGAGCCCCCACGUAGAGUCCCUACUGGCGUACUGCCUAGUGGAGCUGUGAGAAGAGGGCCACCGUCCUCCAGACCCCAGAAUGGUAGAUCUACCAGCAGCUUGCACCAUUCACGUGGAAAAGCUGCAGACACUCAAUGCCAGCACAUGAAAACAGCUGGGAGGAGGCUGUACCCUGCAAAGCCACAGGGGCAGAACUGCCCAAGACCAUAGGAACCCGUCUCUUGCAUCAAUGUGUCCUGGAUUUCAGACGUGUAGUCAAAAGAGACCAUUUUGUAGCUUUAAAAUUUGGCUGCCUUACUGGAUUUUGAACUUGCAUGGGCCCUGUAACCACUUUGUUUUGGCCAAUUUCUCUCAUUUAGAGUAGCUGUAUUUACCCAAUACCUGUACCCCCAUUGUAUCUAGGAAGUAACUAACUUGCUUUUGAUUUUACAGGCUCAUAGGCAGAAGGGACUUUCCUUGUCUCAGAUGAGACUUUGGACUGUGAACUUCUGGAUCAAUGCUGAAAUGAGUUAAGACUGUGGGACUGUUGGGAAGGUAUGUGAGAAGAAACAUAAAGAAAAAUACCUGUGCUUGUGAAAGAAAGAGGCAAAGAAAAUAUUUUGAAGUGAGAAGCCCACAAGAAGGUGUAAUAUCCAAAAUUCUCUUUAUAACAAUGUGAAUUAGGUGCAGACAUUGGGUUGAAAGGUUUUCUGUAACUAAUUGUUAUGGCUGAAGAAAUAACAAGACUGGCUAUAUUUUUAGCGGAUAGCCUGUCAAUGUGGAAAGACAAUAGAAGAUACUUUGUAGUCUGGGAAGAGGUUAAAAAACAUAUACCCAACUAGGUUGUAAUGAAAAUUUCAACCAAAAGGAAAGUGGCACAUACCCAGCUUUAGGAAUCAUAUGCAAACAUCCUGAGAAGAAAACCUUACCUUCUAAAAUGUUAAGUAAUAAAAAAAUGAAUUGACACAGUAUAUAUUCAAAGAUAAAAGGAAAAGUGAGAAAAGAAAUGACAGUAACAUGCAAUGGAUGGAAAAUAAAUAUCACUCCAUAGACAAAAGAAAUUGUGGUCAAACACUUCUCAUAAAUUGUAAAUUCAUAAAUAAGUAAACAUAUAUAUAUGUGCUUGUGUGUUUUAAAUAUUUGUGUUGUGUAAGAACAUGCUUGCAAUUCAUUUGUAGAUCUUGUUGGGGUAUUGGCAAUCAUAUAGCAUAUGCAUAUUGAUAUUUUAAUUUAUUUUUUCUCUUAAUCCUAACUUUGAUUCAUUUGUAUUGUCUUGUAUAGGCUGGGGCAUUUGACACAAGGUUAAGUAGAGGUAGCAAAGUAUAGAAGCAAUGAAAUCAGUAUAUUUCUGCCUUUAAUGAAAGUGCUUCUGAAGCUUCACUGUAUAUAUGCCCAAGAUAACCAUUAUCAGGUUAAGAAAGAUCUUCUCUAUUUAUAAUUUAAAAGAUGCUUUUCCAUGAAUAAGUGUUGAGCUUUUACUAAGUGUAUUUUCCCUUAUAUUAAGGUCAUCAUGAUUUUUUUCUUUUAAUCUGUUAAUUUGGUGAAUUAUAUUAAUCAAGUUUCUAAUGUAAAAUUACCUUUUUUUAUUUUCCCAGAGACAUUUUGCUUUUGCUUUUGCUAAGACCUCAAAAUGUUACCAUUUGGGGAAUAUUUUACUGAUACAUUUUCAGCUUGGGGCUUCUUGGGCAAGGUGAGCCAUAAAAAUGUGAAUUCCUAAAUUUGUAUGAUGGCUCAUAUCUGAUUACUAAUUUUAUAUGAAGUAUUUUCUUCUUCUUCUUUAUUUUAUUUUCACUAAUAGCACUGGCCCUGACAGAUCAACAUUUUUUUUUCCUUUGCUUGUUGAUAUAUUUAUUCUUGUCAAGUGUUUCACUGAAUAUAUAGUUCUUUGGUUCUUCAUUGAAAAUGAACUUUUUGAUUCCCCACUUUCUUCUUUCCAAAGGUUCUAGAUCUGGUCAUCUCUCUUUCUCUGUUGCAUUAAAGUUAAAACCUUUUCACUACUCUUUGGAUACCCCAAAAUGUUUAAGUGCCAAUUUCAGCUUUCACUUGAUGUUGAAGCUCUGAGUAUUUUUCCUUCCUCCUUUUGAGCUUUACUUUCAUUUUCGUUAUAUUUUAACCAGUAUUUCCAGUUUUUUGGUAUAGGGAAUUUUUAGGCUAUCUAGUUAGCCAUACAAAGAAAAAUUAUCAACAGGACAUUUUUGAAGUUAGAUAAUGCUGGUGACCUUGAGUCUGGUAUGCUAAAAAUGUUUGUGUGUAUGUUUUCUGAGUCUUAACUACUUCCUAACAUAAUUUGUGCAAUUUUCUUUCAAAUCCCAAUUCCUUAGUAUUUUUAUGUUUACUUGUACACAUUGUUUUGAUCUCAUAUAAACAAAGACCUUGACUUGCAGUUAUGUGUGUACUUGAUCCUUGACAUAACAUUGGCUCAAAUCAAUAAUUUGAUAACAUAAAGCUGAUUUUGGCCUAUACAAAUAUCUUGGUCCUUCUCUGAGGGUGCUGCUGCAUUGUGUUGAACUGUAAGUUCAAGUUGCUGCCUUUUUUCUCUUCUCAGAAAUAUUCAUAUUAAUAAGCCUUUUGCUUUAUGCCAAAGUAGAACAUUUUUAAUGAAGGAAUCUUAAUUUGAAUUGGCCUAAUGUUAUUAGCAUACUCAGAGAGAUUUACAAAGGGUCAGUUGAAAAGAAUAAAGCUAGUAUUUCAUGAUACAUAAUUUGAAGUUUUUGGUAGUACUGGAAAAUAACAUUUUCAAAUGUAUUUAAAUCUUUCUACUUUUAUAACUGUGUUGUAUAUCAAAGCUAUUUGAAUUAGUUAGGGAAGGAGUUUACUUUUAAUAUAAAUUCAGUGCAUAAUAAGAGCAAGCUUAUAUUGUAGUAACUAUAUGCAGGCAUUGUUUCAACUACUUUACAUAUAUUAACUCAUUUAAUGUGCACAAUGGCCAUCUAUGAAGUAAUUAUUAUUAACCUUUCCAGUUUACAGUUGUGGACAGUAAGGCAUAGUGAGAUAAAGUAUCUUGUGCCAAGUCACACCACUGGUUAGAAUAGAGCUUAGAGAGUAAAACUCAGUCAAGAAUCCAUAGUCUAGUCCCUUAACUACAUGAUAUUACUUUCUUUUCCUGGCUGCAAAAUAUAUUUUCUAUGAUUUCUAUGGUUUAUUCUAUAUUAAAUAAUGUAUUAAAGGGGUAUAAUGAAUUUGAUGCUCAAUUAGCCUGUUUUUGAAGAAAGCUUAUAUACAUUUUGCAUAGCAGGUUUAUAUUCAAAAUUGACAGAUAGUAUAAGCUUUUAAAAAUCUUUGAAGACACCCAUAUUUUGUAUUAAGUGCCUCAUAAAAUUAUUUUAAAAUAUGUAUGUAACUUGUACUGUCUUCCUUAAUAAAUUUCUGCAUACGUCUUGGUUUAUUCAGCUUUUGUAAAUCUUAUUACCCACACAAGAUGCAGAUCAUCAUAAUAUAUUUUAGAUUGAUCAGGUUAGUAUUAUUGACCUGGAAUGAACAUUAAAGAUUAUCUCACACAAUCUCUGCAUUUUGGGGAUGAGAAAGCAGAAGUCCAGAAGAAUGGAAACGACAUAUUGCAGAGCAGGGGUGAAAACCUCUAUCUUCUUGCUUUUAGAACAGUGGAGUCAUAUCUUACAUAGGUAUUAAGUUCUACAUUUAUUUAGUAAGGAAAAAGUAAACAUGGUAAAAACUGUCAUUUAAAAAUCCCAUGGGAAGGGGUAUGCUAUUGAAUCUAGUUUUCUUCAAUAUUGAAACAUUUGGUUAUUUCUUCCUGGGAUAUCCAGAUUAUUUAGAUGGUUCAUGUCUUCCUUAGACUUGGCUAUCUACACUUUUGUGAAAAUAGGCUAUAAAGAUGGUCUCAAAAUCUUGG